AUUGAACGCUGGCGGCAUGCUUUACACAUGCAAGUCGAACGGCAGCGCGGGCUUCGGCCUGGCGGCGAGUGGCGAACGGGUGAGUAAUGCAUCGGAACGUGCCCAGUAGUGGGGGAUAGCCCGGCGAAAGCCGGAUUAAUACCGCAUACGACCUGAGGGUGAAAGCGGGGGACGGAAAGGCCUCGCGCUAUUGGAGCGGCCGAUGUGGGGUUAGCUAGUUGGUGGGGUAAAGGCUUACCAAGGCGACGAUCCGUAGCUGGUCUGAGAGGACGACCAGCCACACUGGGACUGAGACACGGCCCAGACUCCUACGGGAGGCAGCAGUGGGAAAUUUUGGACAAUGGGGGCAACCCUGAUCCAGCCAUGCCGCGUGCGGGAAGAAGGCCUUCGGGUUGUAAACCGCUUUUGUUCGGGAAGAAAUCCUCUGGGCUAAUACCCCGGGGGGAUGACGGUACCGGAAGAAUAAGCACCGGCUAACUACGUG
rnacentral:rRNA from 1 species